rnacentral:rRNA from 1 species
GUGCUCCGUAUUGGCACCUCCAUCUCUGUGGGCUCCGGGUCGACCCUGUUUUGGUUCGACCGCUGGCUAGGGGACUCCCCCCUGGCCGCCCGCUUCCCGAGCCUUUUUGCCAUUGCGGCUGACCCUUGGAUCUCCGUCGAGACGGCCCUUAUUGACUUAGGGCGUCUCGCCUUCCGGUGCCCCUUUGGCCACCUUGAGGUGGAUGAGUGGGACUCCCUUCUCCAGGAUAUCGCUCUCCUGCCGAUGGACGUUGAGGGUGCCCCGGACUCCAUCUCUUGGCGUCUGGAGCCCUCUGGCCGCUUCUCCACGAAAUAUCUCUAUGCGGCCAUAGCCCCUUCGUUGGCCCCUGAGCCUUUUAGCCUGAUUUGGGACAUUUGCCUCCCCCUCAAGAUCAGGAUAUUCCUGUGGCAGUGGAUCCGGGGACGCCUUCCCUCUGGAUUUGAAUUCCGCAAGUGCAAUGGCCUCGGCGACGGGAUGUGUCCCCUAUGCGACAUGGUGGAGGAUUCGAACCACAUUUUGUUCUCCUGCUCCACAGCCCAGUUCCUGUGGUCCUGCUUCCGAGAGACGGUCGGUGGACAGUGGUGCAAUACCAACUUCCCCGACUUACUCACUGAGAUCCACACCUCCCCCCCUCGCUACCGCCAUAUUAGAUGGCUGUGCAUCGGGGUCCUCGCCUGGACGCUCUGGACCAUUCGCAACAAACUUGCUAUUCAGAAAGUGCCUCUGCGACGUGCGACUGACGCGAUCUUCAAAAUGUGUGGCUAUUUGCAGCUCUGGCGGCCGCUUAGCCGCCCACAGGACCGGGACGUCAUCAAAAACCUCCUCGCCGACCUUCGAUCGAUGGCCUUCCGCUUGGCGCCUCCGCUUUCGCCACCUCCACCGGAGCCUGACUAG